rnacentral:rRNA from 1 species
CCUACGGGAGGCAGCAGUGGGGGAUAUUGCACAAUGGGGGAAACCCUGAUGCAGCGACACCGCGUGUGGGAAGACGGUCCUCUGGAUUGUAAACCACUGUCCCCAGGGACGAAGAUGACGGUACCUGGGGAGGAAGCUCCGGCUAACUACGUGCCAGCAGCCGCGGUAAUACGUAGGGAGCGAGCGUUGUCCGGAAUUACUGGGUGUAAGGGGAGCGUAGGCGGGACUGCAAGUUGGGUGUCAAAUCUACCGGCUCAACCGGUAGCCGCACUCAAAACUGCAGUUCUUGAGUGAAGUAGAGGCAGGCGGAAUUCCUAGUGUAGCGGUGAAAUGCGUAGAUAUUAGGAGGAACACCAGUGGCGAAGGCGGCCUGCUGGGCUUUUACUGACGCUGAGGCUCGAAAGUGUGGGGAGCAAACAGGAUUAGAUACCCUUGUAGUC